GUCUAUAUGAAGGUGUAUAUAGUUUGGCCUGCUCACUGAUUAUAUUAAAGAGCCGCAGUAUUUUGACUGUGCGAAGGUAGCAUAAUAAAUUGUCUUUUAAAUGGAGGCUUGAAUGAAAGGUUGGACAAAGUGUCAUCUGUUUCUUAAAUAUUUAUUGAAUUUGACUUUCAAGUGAAAAGGCUUGAAUAAAUUAAAAAGACGAUAAGACCCUAUAAAUCUUUACAAUAAACAUAUUUUAUAUUUUUAUUUAUUAAGUGAAUGAGAUAUUAAAUUUGUAGUUGUUCCGCUGGGGCGGCGUAGAUAUAUAAAUGAACUGUCUAUAAUUUUAAAUACAAUAAUUAUUGAUUAAUGAAAUUGAUCCUUAAAUAGAUUAAAAGAUUAAGAUACUUUAGGGAUAACAGCGUUAUUUUUUCUGAGAGUUCUUAUCGAAGAAAAAGUUUGCGACCUCGAUGUUGAAUUAAAGUAUCUUUAUGGUGCAGUCGCUAUAAGAGAGAGUCUGUUCGACUUUUAAUACUUUACAUGAUUUGAGUUCAGACCGGCGUGAG
rnacentral:rRNA from 1 species